rnacentral:rRNA from 1 species
AACGCUAGCUACAGGCUUAACACAUGCAAGUCGAGGGGCAGCGCAGUGUAGCAAUACAUGGGCGGCGACCGGCGCACGGGUGCGUAACGCGUAUCCAACCUUCCCGUUACUCAGGGAUAGCCUUCCGAAAGGGAGAUUAAUACCUGAUGGUGUUCAAAUUCCGCAUGUUAUUUGAACUAAAGAUUUAUCGGUAACGGAUGGGGAUGCGUGACAUUAGAUAGUAGGCGGGGUAACGGCCCACCUAGUCUACGAUGUCUAGGGGUUCUGAGAGGAAGGUCCCCCACACUGGAACUGAGACACGGUCCAGACUCCUACGGGAGGCAGCAGUGAGGAAUAUUGGUCAAUGGUCGGAAGACUGAACCAGCCAAGUAGCGUGAAGGAUGAAGGUUCUAUGGAUUGUAAACUUCUUUUAUACGGGAAUAAAACCUCCCACGUGUGGGAGCUUGUAUGUACCGUAUGAAUAAGCAUCGGCUAACUCCGUGCCAGCAGCCGCGGUAAUACGGAGGAUGCGAGCGUUAUCCGGAUUUAUUGGGUUUAAAGGGAGCGUAGACGGGAGAUUAAGUCAGUUGUGAAAGGCUGCGGCUCAACCGCAGCACUGCAGUUGAUACUGGUUUCCUUGAGUUCGGUUGAGGUGUAUGGAAUUCGUGGUGUAGCGGUGAAAUGCUUAGAUAUCACGAAGAACUCCGAUUG